GACGAACCGUGCGAACGUUGUUCGGAAUCACUGGGCUUAAAGGGCGCGUAGGCGGGCUGCCAAGUUUGGGGUGAAAUCCUCCCGCUUAACGGGAGAACGGCCUCGAAUACUGGCGGUCUCGAGGGAGGUAGGGGCGUGCGGAACUAUGGGUGGAGCGGUGAAAUGCGUUGAUAUCCAUAGGAACUCCGGUGGCGAAGGCGGCACGCUGGACCUCUUCUGACGCUGAGGCGCGAAAGCCAGGGGAGCAAACGGG
rnacentral:rRNA from 1 species